UUCCAGCAUCUGCAGUUCCUUCUUUAACAACACGAUAUACAGUAAACAAUUAAGAAUAAACCAUUAUAAUUUAAACGUGAAGAAUGCAAUAAAAUACCAGGGGAAAAGGAGGUUAAAGACUUUUGGCUAUUGAGUAGAGCU